rnacentral:rRNA from 1 species
GACGAACGCUGGCGGCGUGCUUAACACAUGCAAGUCGAACGGAAAGGCCUGCUUUCCCUUGUGGAUUGCGGGUACUCGAGUGGCGAACGGGUGAGUAACACGUGCGUGAUCUGCCCCCAACUUGGGUAUAAGCCUGGGAAACUGGGUCUAAUUCCCGAUAGGACUGCAGGGUGGUGCCUGUGGUGGAAAACGAUGUUCUAGUGGUUGGGGAUGAGCUCGCGGCCUAUCAGCUUGUUGGUGGGGUAAUGGCCUACCAAGGCGGCGACGGGUAGCCGGCCUGGGAGGGUGGACGGGCGCAGUGGGACUGAGAUACGGCCCAGACGCCUACGGGAGGCAGCAGUGGGGAAUAUGGCACAAGGGGCGGAAGCCUGAGGCAGCGACGCCGCGGGGGGGAUGACGGCCGUCGGGUGGUAAACUCCUUUCGACCGCGAGGAAGCCACCUGGUUGGAAGGGUGGUGACGGUAGUGGUAGAAGAAGCACCGGCUAACUACGUG